GUAAACCCUACUUUGUUCCUUCUCCUCCUCUGCAACCAUGUCCAGUGGCCUCAGAUACACAGAAAAAUGGGACCAACAGUUCUAUCUUUUUCAAGCAACAGAGUCUCUCCUGCUGACUGCCAACCAAUGGGUGCACAAAAGUCUGGCAGAAAUUCUAAAACUCUAGUUUUUUGAACCUCCUUUCAAAGCUGGAUAUUCUUAACUAUUCUACUUGAGAGAAGGGAAGGAACAAGAUAGUUCUUAUUCGCACAUCACAUAUCAGAAAGGUUCUCCUCUAAUACUCCUGGAACAGCUGCUAUAGGCAUUCUCCUAGAAGAAAACCACUUAUGCCUAGGAGUUUGGAAUCUGGCAAGGCACUUAGAGGCUCCCAGAAAAUCAGAGAAGGAAGACCUGCAGAUGGGGAAAGAUACAAGACCCACCUGGAGCUCCAGCUCUGGGAACCCCUCUCCAGACUGUAAAACUUGUGGUGAAAUGGAUUGAUAAUGUCCUGUUUAAUCAGACAGAUGAACACCUUGUUACCUUAGGAAAAACACUUCAACUUCAAGAAACCUUGGUCAUCAUCUGUAAGAUGAGGUCAACUACUUCUAAACCACAAGGUUGUUCAGAAAAUUCAAAGAUGUCAGGUGAGUAACAUGCCCAGAAGAAUGUCUAACCCCAAGUAGAGCCUUAACAAAUGUUUGUUUUCUCCCCUUUCCCUUGUGUAAAUUUAUUAACAACUACCUCAGAUAUACCUGUGAUGGUUUUAUUUUUACCUAUUA
rnacentral:lncRNA from 1 species